UACGAAGGGGGCUAGCGUUGCUCGGAAUCACUGGGCGUAAAGCGCACGUAGGCGGGCUCUUAAGUCGGUGGUGAAAUCCUGGAGCUCACCUCCAGAACUGCCUUCGAUACUGAGAGUCUUCGAGUCCGGGAGAGGUGAGUGGAACUGCGAGUGUAGAGGUGAAAGUCGUAGAUAUUCGCAAGAACACCAGUGGCGAAGGCGGCUCACUGGCCCGGUACUGACGCUGAGGUGCGAAAGCUAGGGGAGCGAACGGG
rnacentral:rRNA from 1 species